UGACAAGGCAGUGCAACCCUGGCUAUUUUCUGGGCAAGGCUGGUGCUCUGGUGCUGGACUUCAUUUGCCUGAAGGAAGCAGUGCAUUUUUCUAACUUGUGUGAAGACAUUGUAUGGACUAGCUGUGGCCCUGGAGCCAUGUAUGUGGAUGGGGUCGGCCUCACUGAACCACUGAGACUCCAGAUCUGCUGUUAGAGGAGAAUUCUUCUGUCCUAGCUGUGUCUCUGUGAUCUGUGGAUGAGGGUGGGAAAGCACCACUCAGUCAAUUGGGGUGUACAAAAUGGAGUUUGAGAAGGUCUCACAUCCAGGUUGUUUUGAAGCAAAGUCCAAGCAUUGUAUCACUUCAUCUGCAAAUAUUUCAAUAAGUACCCAAAAGUGGUUGGACUGAGUCCCAUGAAGCCAGAUCACUUCUGACUGCAAGGAGCUUGGAAAAGCAAGUAUCUGGAUCUUUUACCAGCUAAAUUUGGAGCGAUGAGGCUUCCUCUUUGAAGAUCACAGGUGAGAAGAUUAGGUGCUUUCUCAGAAGCCCAGCAACCUGAUGGGAGUGUGGAGUGAGCAAGACCCAAAUCGGAGCUUCAUCCCUGCAUGGUUCAUUUUGCUUAUUUGGCAAACUUGCCCUGCAGAAUCUACUCAAGCUUCCUCAGUUUCUCAAAUCAUUCUUGGGCAACAAAUGAACAAGAAAGAGGACGUCUUAUUAUCUGGUGUCUGGCUUGCUGAUUUAAUAACCUAG
rnacentral:lncRNA from 1 species